rnacentral:lncRNA from 1 species
UAAUGUUGUUUGUUGCCUUUUAUAGUGUUGACAGACUCACUGUAGAUUAGUUUUUUAAUGUUGUUUGGUUGCCUUUCUAUAGUGUUGACAGACUCACUGUAGAUAAGUUUUUUUUAAUGUUUUUUGGUUGCCUUUCUAUAGUGUUAAAAGACCAUGUAGAUUAAUAUUAUCAGUUUUUUAAUGUUGUUGGUUGCCUUUCUAUAGUGUUGACAGACGUCACUGUAGAUCAGUUUUUAAUGUUGUUUGGUUGCCUUUCUAUAGUGUUGACAACUCACUGUAGCUUUUUUUUAAUGUUUUUUGGUUGCCUUUUCUAUAGUGUUGACAGACUCACUGGUAGAUUAGUUUUUUAUGUUUUUGGUUGCCUUUCUAUAGUUGACAGACUCACUGUAAUGUUUUUUAAUGUUGUUUGGUUGCCUUUCUAUAGUGUUGACAGACUCACUGUAGAUCAGUUUUUUAAUGUUGUUUGGUUGCCUUUCUAUAGUGUUGACAGACUCACUGUAGAUUAGUUUUUUUAAUGUUUUUUGGUUGCCUUUCUAUAGUGUUGACAGACUCACUGUAGAUUAAUUUUUUAAUGUUGUUUGGUUGCCUUUCUAUAGUGUUGACAGACUCACUGUAGAUUAGUUUUUUUUAAUGUUGUUUGGUUGCCUUUCUAUAGUGUUGACAGACUCACUGUAGAUUAGUUUUUUAAUGUUGUUUGGUUGCCUUUCUAUAGUGUUGACAGACUCACUGUAGAUUAGUUUUUUAAUGUUGUUUGGUUGCCUUUCUAUAGUGUUGACAGAC